GUAGUCCACGCCCUAAACUAUGUCAACUGGUUGUCGGGGAAGCAAUUCCUUGGUAACGAAGCUAACGCGUGAAGUUGACCGCCUGGGGAGUACGGCCGCAAGGUUAAAACUCAAAGGAAUUGACGGGGACCCGCACAAGCGGUGGAUUAUGUGGAUUAAUUCGAUGCAACGCGAAAAACCUUACCUACCCUUGACAUGUACGGAAUCCCCCAGAGACGGGGGAGUGCCCGAAAGGGAGCCGUAACACAGGUGCUGCAUGGCUGUCGUCAGCUCGUGUCGUGAGAUGUUGGGUUAAGUCCCGCAACGAGCGCAACCCUUGCCAUUAGUUGCUACAUUCAGUUGGGCACUCUAAUGGGACUGCCGGUGACAAACCGGAGGAAGGUGGGGAUGACGUCAAGUCCUCAUGGCCCUUAUGGGUAGGGCUUCACACGUAAUACAAUGGCCGGUACAGAGGGCAGCCAACCCGCGAGGGGGAGCUAAUCCCAGAAAGCCGGUCGUAGUCCGGAUUGUAGUCUGCAACUCGACUGCAUGAAGCCGGAAUCGCUAGUAAUCGCGGAUCAGCAUGUCGCGGUGAAUA
rnacentral:rRNA from 1 species